CAAAGGUUUGGUCCCAGCCUUCCUAUUGACCUUUAAUAGACUUACACAUGCAAGCAUCCGCAUCCCAGUGAAAAUGCCCUCCAAGUUAAUAAGACUAAGAGGAUCUGGUAUCAAGCACACACCCGUAGCUCAUGACACCUUGCUUAGCCACACCCCCACGGGAGACAGCAGUGAUAAAAAUUAAGCCAUGAACGAAAGUUUGACUAAGCCAUAUUAAUUAGGGUUGGUAAAUUUCGUGCCAGCCACCGCGGUCAUACGAUUAACCCAAGUUAAUAGGCAUACGGCGUAAAGCGUGUUAAAGCAACAUAUAAAAAUAGAGUUAAACUUUAAUUAAGCUGUAAAAAGCCAUAAUUAUUAACGAAAAUAAAUAACGAAAGUAACUUUACAAUCGCUGAAACAUGAUAGCUAAGACCCA
rnacentral:rRNA from 1 species